CAGAAAGAAAAAAAUAAAGCCAGACUCAGGUCCAGGUCCAGGUCCAGGUGGAGGAGGUGGAGCAGAAGGAGUGGAGGAGUCUCAGUGUGUCUGCAGAGACGGUGUAGAAGGACAGAGCAGCAGCAGAGAGUCCAGAUACACUGACGAUACUCUGCCACAUCCAGAGGAACACACAGGGACGAUGGUGGACUUGCCUUUGUGUCUGACAGUGGAGCUGAUCUCAGAGCAGUUCAGACUGCAGCACUGA